rnacentral:misc_RNA from 1 species
UUUCCGUAGGUGAACCUGCGGAAGGAUCACUAUUGGAUUUUGAAACUUCAGGCUGCUGCUGGCUCUCCUCGGAGGGCAUGUGCACGCUUGUUGUCCAUUAUUUCUCCCACUGUGCACAAAUUGUAGACCUUUCAGUAGGCCUAUGUUGUUUUUCACAAUCUCUGAAUGUAAUAGAAUGGUUUUGAAUCUUGGGAAAUACAAUACAACUUUUAACAACGGAUAUCUUGGCUCUU